UACGUAGGAGACGAGCGUUGUCCGGAGUUACUGGGCGUAAAGGGUGCGCAGGCGGCCUUGCGCGUCGCGAGUGAAAUCUCCCGGCUCAACUGGGAGGGUGGUCGCGAGACGGCAGGGCUUGAGGCUCGGUGAGGGGCGUGGAAUUCCGGGUGGGAGCGGUGAAAUGCGUAGAGAUCCGGAGGAACACCGACGGCGUAGGCAGCGCCCUAGACGAGACCUGACGCUCAGGCACGAAAGCGCGGGGAGCGAACGGG
rnacentral:rRNA from 1 species